CCUGUUGGUAGCUCAAUGGGAAGAACCUUGCUAAACACUUUCACUGUGCUGCAAGAGACGUGGGUUCGAUCCCCACCCGGAGGG